AUUCUAAUAGCUUAAAUAAAUAAAGCACAGCCCUGAAAAGGCUAUGAUGAAAUCCCCUCUUAGAAUA
rnacentral:tRNA from 1 species